rnacentral:rRNA from 1 species
CCUACGGGGGGCUGCAGUGGGGAAUAUUGGACAAUGGGCGAAAGCCUGAUCCAGCCAUGCCGCGUGUGUGAAGAAGGCCUUCGGGUUGUAAAGCACUUUCAGUGGGGAAGAAAGCCUUGGGGCUAAUACCCUCGAGGAAGGACAUCACCCACAGAAGAAGCACCGGCUAACUCCGUGCCAGCAGCCGCGGUAAUACGGAGGGUGCGAGCGUUAAUCGGAAUUACUGGGCGUAAAGCGCGCGUAGGCGGUCUGAUAAGCCGGUUGUGAAAGCCCCGGGCUCAACCUGGGAACGGCAUCCGGAACUGUCAGGCUAGAGUGCAGGAGAGGAAGGUAGAAUUCCCGGUGUAGCGGUGAAAUGCGUAGAGAUCGGGAGGAAUACCAGUGGCGAAGGCGGCCUUCUGGACUGACACUGACGCUGAGGUGCGAAAGCGUGGGUAGCAAACAGGAUUAGAUACCCCAUAGUC